rnacentral:rRNA from 1 species
UACGGAGGGUGCAAGCGUUAUCCGGAUUCACUGGGUUUAAAGGGUGUGUAGGCGGGCUGUUAAGUCAGUGGUGAAAUCUCCGGGCUCAACCCGGAAACUGCCAUUGAUACUAUCAGUCUUGAAUCUUGUUGAGGUAGGCGGAAUAUAUCAUGUAGCGGUGAAAUGCAUAGAUAUGAUAUAGAACACCGAUUGCGAAGGCAGCUUACUAAAUAAGCAUUGACGCUGAGGCACGAAAGCGUGGGGAUCAAACAGG